GGUCUAUUCGUUCAACGGUUUAGGACGGCCGACUGUGUUUAAUUAGUUUAACAGUAAAACUAGUUCGAGAGAACUAUUACAAGUGCAAAUCUUGUAUUAAACACCACUAUCGGCAGAUAGGGGUUCGAUUCCCCUAUGGACCG
rnacentral:tRNA from 1 species